rnacentral:rRNA from 1 species
UACGUAGGUGGCGAACGUUGUCCGGAUUUACUGGGCGUAAAGAGCGCGCAGGCGGUCGUUCAAGUCGAAUGUGAAAGCCCCCGGCUUAACUGGGGAGGGUCAUUCGAUACUGAUCGACUCGAAGGCAGGAGAGGGAAGCGGAAUUCCCGGUGUAGUGGUGAAAUGCGCAGAUAUCAGGAAGAACACCCGUGGCGAAGGCGGCUCUCUGGGACGGUACUGACGCUGAAGCGCGACAGCGUGGGGAGCAAACAGG